CCGUGCAUGUAUACUUCUCCCACCGCCGAGGUUUCCAGCUGCUCUCGCAACUUUUAUUACGCAGUUUCUUCUGAGUGAGCAAUGUGGGUAAGCAAGACGGACGUGUUCGGCCGCUGCAAUGAGCCACAUUGUGACUGUACCUAGUGCACAGUCCUGAGCCCAUCAGAGGAAGUGAGAGGCUGAAAUGCGGGUAUUGCAACCAUUCUUCAAGCGCUCACGGCCGGCAAUCCGCGCUUGCUCAAUUUCGCAUUCCCGGGGUAAACGAGGCCGACUUUCUUGGGGCGUCCGAAAACAGAACGAGCCCUGUGGAGCCACUUGUGCAGCGGACGUGCCCCGCUUACGUCGCUUCCCGUCCGCAUCAGCAAUGACACCACCGGAUGUGGGAAUGCUGCCUUUUGUCAAAGACGUGCCGGCGCUGUACCUGACGAGAAUCGACGGCAAAAGACGGACGCGUCGCAUCCUCAAUAACGUCUGACCGCAUCCUUGGUCAGGUGCUCCACAGAGGCUGGCGACUGAGGGCCAUGGAGUAAUUGCAGGAGUCAUGAGGGAAGAAGUGGCCGAAUACUGCACCAGCGAGGCGAAUUCCUGUUCUGGGCGUGUUGUUCAUCUGCUGGGGAUUAUCAAGGCCGUCCAUAGACUGCACUGCGAAGUACGUUAAUUGGUUCGCCUUCAAGAAGCGAAGAGAUGGCAUGUGCGCACGCACGACACGUGAAGGCAAAGCCAGUGUACCGGACCGUCAGCUAACAGGAGAACGCGCCCAGGCUUUGGAGGCCAUCCCACACGCCCUUGCUCUAGGGUAUGUAGUCCCAUGGCACUUGAGACCGUACCGUGUUUAAAGAGACACUAAAGAGAAAGGCUAAUUCAAAUAAAAGUGUUAAAGUAUUC